rnacentral:rRNA from 1 species
GACGAACGCUGGCGGCGUGCUUAACACAUGCAAGUCGAACGGAAAGGCCUGCUUUCCCUUGUGGAUUGCGGGUACUCGAGUGGCGAACGGGUGAGUAACACGUGAGUGAUCUGCCCCCAACUUGGGUAUAAGCCUGGGAAACUGGGUCUAAUUCCCGAUAGGACUGCAGGGUGGUGCCUGUGGUGGAAAACGAUUUUCUAGUGGUUGGGGAUGAGCUCGCGGCCUAUCAGCUUGUUGGUGGGGUAAUGGCCUACCAAGGCGGCGACGGGUAGCCGGCCUGAGAGGGUGGACGGCCACAUUGGGACUGAGAUACGGCCCAGACUCCUACGGGUGGCAGCAGUGGGGAAUAUUGCACAAUGGGCGGAAGCCUGAUGCAGCGACGCCGCGUGGGGGAUGACGGCCUUCGGGUUGUAAACUCCUUUCGACCGCGAGGAAGCCACCUGGUUGGAAGGGUGGUGACGGUAGUGGUAGAAGAAGCACCGGCUAACUACGUG